rnacentral:rRNA from 1 species
GACGAGGGAUCCUAGCGUUGUUCGGAAUCACUGGGCGUAAAGCGUUUGUAGGCGGCUCUAUAAGUCGGGUGUGAAAUCCCACGGCUCAACCGUGGAAGUGCACUCGAAACUGCAGAGCUUGAAUAUGGUAGAGGAGAGUAGAAUUCCUGGUGUAGUGGUGAAAUACGUAGAUAUCAGGAGGAAUACCGGUGGCGAAGGCGGCUCUCUGGACCAAUAUUGACGCUGAGAAACGAAAGUGCGGGGAUCAAACAGG